rnacentral:rRNA from 1 species
GACGAACGCUGGCGGCGUGCCUAAUACAUGCAAGUUGAGCGCUGAAGGUUGGUACUUGUACCAACUGGAUGAGCAGCGAACGGGUGAGUAACGCGUGGGGAAUCUGCCUUUGAGCGGGGGACAACAUUUGGAAACGAAUGCUAAUACCGCAUAAAAACUUUAAACACAAGUUUUAAGUUUGAAAGAUGCAAUUGCAUUACUCAAAGAUGAUCCCGCGUUGUAUUAGCUAGUUGGUGAGGUAAAGGCUCACCAAGGCGAUGAUACAUAGCCGACCUGAGAGGGUGAUCGGCCACAUUGGGACUGAGACACGGCCCAAACUCCUACGGGAGGCAGCAGUAGGGAAUCUUCGGCAAUAGACGAAAGUCUGACCGAGCAACGCCGCGUGAGUGAAGAAGGUUUUCGGAUCGUAAAACUCUGUUGGUAGAGAAGAACGUUGGUGAGAGUGGAAAGCUCAUCAAGUGACGGUAACUACCCAGAAAGGGACGGCUAACUACGUG